rnacentral:tRNA from 1 species
GCCGCCGCGCGGGUCCGGUGCGAUGUACGCCCGUUCCUCGUACGGGCCGAAGGUCACGAGGUUGGGAUUGCCCGUGGUUCGGAUCCGUCGGAGGCUC